ACUCCUACGGGAGGCAGCAGUGGGGAAUCUUGCGCAAUGGGCGAAAGCCUGACGCAGCCAUGCCGCGUGAAUGAUGAAGGUCUUAGGAUUGUAAAAUUCUUUCACCGGGGACGAUAAUGACGGUACCCGGAGAAGAAGCCCCGGCUAACUUCGUGCCAGCAGCCGCGGUAAUACGAAGGGGGCUAGCGUUGCUCGGAAUUACUGGGGCGUAAAGGGAGCGUAGGCGGACUGUUUAGUCAGAGGUGAAAGCCCAGGGCUCAACCUUGGAAUUGCCUUUGAUACUGGCAGUCUUGAGUACGGAAGAGGUAUGUGGAACUCCGAGUGUAGAGGUGAAAUUCGUAGAUAUUCGGAAGAACACCAGUGGCGAAGGCGACAUACUGGUCCGUUACUGACGCUGAGGCUCGAAAGCGUGGGGAGCAAACAGGAUUAGAUACCCUGGUAGGAUAGCC
rnacentral:rRNA from 1 species